AUAAUAACAUUUAUUUGAGUGUACAAUUUUUAAUAAUUCUUUUUCAACCUCAUUUCAAAGGUUUCAAGUCUCGAUGCAAAGCAACCCUGGUUGAACGAAGGAUAAAAACCGGAAGAUAUUUUAAUUGCUCUAUAACACCGUUAAAAACAGUGUGACUAACCGGAGCCCCUCUUUGAAUUAGUACAGCAUCACAGUGCGUUAUUAAUAAAACAUUGAGAACGUACGAACCGUCCGAUUCAGGUGUGUUCGUUUUUUGUUUUUUUAAAUGGCACACAUGAACAUUAUAUUUCAACAUGAACCGUAUCUGACCAACAGGAAAAAAAAAAAAACAUGCCUUUGAGAUUUGUUGUAAUGCCAGUAAAAUGCAAACAGGAUAUUUUAUAAUAACUGUAGUGUUUCUCACAUCUAAUGUUAAGGAGAGUCCUGACAUAGUAGCUAUAGCACACAAUGUGUAAACAUAUCCGCCGUAUUGCGCUGUAUCCCCACAAUUAAUGUUUUUCACUUUUUUUUUUUAAUCGUGCAAAAAUAUAAACCGACUCAAACUCUGAGCAAAUUUACAAAUAAGCAACAGGGCUAAAUAUGCUUCUUUUUUUUUUUUUUGUUAAGAAAAUAAUAGUGCUAAACUACGUUCUGAAUAAGAAAAGGUAAGGUACAUAAGAGAGAAGUAUGAAAAUAGUGUUCUUGCUUCACAAUAUCAACAUUAAAGUCUCGCUCAUCUUGUUCCUUAGAGUCGACCUCCCUUUCAAUGAAUAAAGAAGAAAAAACCCAAAAUAA